rnacentral:rRNA from 1 species
GCUUAUCACCAUUCCAGUCUUGAAUAUACCCGAUCUCUUCUGAUCUCGGCAAGUCAAGCAAUCUCGGGCUUGGUUAGUACUUGGAUGGGUGGCCGCUUGGGAAUACUAAGUGUGAUAAGCA